rnacentral:rRNA from 1 species
UACGUAGGGUGCAAGCGUUGCUCGGAAUCACUGGGCGUAAAGGGUGCGUAGGCGGGUCUUUAAGUCAGGGGUGAAAUCCUGGAGCUCAACUCCAGAACUGCCUUUGAUACUGAAGAGCUUGAGUUCGGGAGAGGUGAGUGGAACUGCGAGUGUAGAGGUGAAAUUCGUAGAUAUUCGCAAGAACACCAGUGGCGAAGGCGGCUCACUGGCCCGAUACUGACGCUGAGGCACGAAAGCGUGGGGAGCAAACAGG